rnacentral:rRNA from 1 species
AUUGAACGCUGGCGGAAUGCUUUACACAUGCAAGUCGAACGGCAGCACGGACUUCGGUCUGGUGGCGAGUGGCGAACGGGUGAGUAAUACAUCGGAACGUGCCCAGUCGUGGGGGAUAACGUAGCGAAAGCUACGCUAAUACCGCAUACGAUCUACGGAUGAAAGCGGGGGAUCGCAAGACCUCGCGCGAUUGGAGCGGCCGAUGGCAGAUUAGGUAGUUGGUAGGGUAAAGGCCUACCAAGCCGACGAUCUGUAGCUGGUCUGAGAGGAUGAUCAGCCACACUGGGACUGAGACACGGCCCAGACUCCUACGGGAGACAGCAGUGGGGAAUUUUGGACAAUGGACGCAAGUCUGAUCCAGCCAUUCCGCGUGCAGGAUGAAGGCCCUCGGGUUGUAAACUGCUUUUGUACAGAACGAAAAGGCUCUGGUUAAUACCUGGGGCUCAUGACGGUACUGUAAGAAUAAGCACCGGCUAACUACGUGCCAGCCGCCGCAGUAG